UACGGGGGGGGGCAAGCGUUGUUCGGAAUUACUGGGCGUAAAGGGCGCGUAGGCGGCCCGCUAAGUCGGACGUGAAAUCCCUCGGCUUAACCGGGGAACUGCGUCCGAUACUGGAAGGCUUGAAUCCGGGAGAGGGAUGCGGAAUUCCAGGUGUAGCGGUGAAAUGCGUAGAUAUCUGGAGGAACACCGGUGGCGAAGGCGGCAUCCUGGACCGGCAUUGACGCUGAGGCGCGAAAGCCAGGGGAGCAAACGGG
rnacentral:rRNA from 1 species